rnacentral:rRNA from 1 species
GACGUAGGGUGCGAGCGUUGUCCGGAUUUAUUGGGCGUAAAGAGCUCGUAGGCGGCUUGUUACGUCGGCUGUGAAAACCCGCGGCUCAACCGCGGGCCUGCAGCCGAUACGGGCAGGCUAGAGUUCGGUAGGGGAGACUGGAAUUCCCGGUGUAGCGGUGAAAUGCGCAGAUAUCGGGAGGAACACCAAUGGCGAAGGCAGCUUGCUGGGACGGUACUGACGCUGAGACGCGAAAGCGUGGGGAGCAAACAGG